ensembl:snoRNA SNORD58 Small nucleolar RNA SNORD58
CUGCGAUGAUGUCAUUUCUUAGGACACCUUUGGAUUGGCCGUGAAAAUAACUCUCCUCUGAGCAGC